rnacentral:lncRNA from 1 species
UGGCAUGCCGGAUCCGGCCAUAACUUCUGGGCCGGGUUUGGGGUGCUACAUUGGACUUUUGGACAUCCAUCCCCAAUGUAUUACAUGCCCAUGCUAUCUAUUUCUCCAACGACGACGAUGACGUAUAGGCCGUCUAUGUUUUAGGCACCGACGAAGAGUCCACUUAUUAUCCCAUCGGUACAUGAGAUUCAACAUAGUUAUGCUCAUUCAUCGUUUAUGAUGCAAACACCUCUGGGGUCUUUGUUUACCAAUGUGGGUUAUCUUCCCAACUACCUAUUCCUAUACUAGAGGAUGCACAGAUCGCAAUUGACCGAAAGCGAAGAAGAUGAGCUAUUGAGAUCACAACCCCAACCGGAGGCUGAACCAAGAAGGAACCCAACACGCAACUGUCGACCACCCCGAUGUGGCACAGAUUCUAACCGGCAUUUGGACUGAUUUAUUUUAUCAUUAUAUCGAACGUUAGUAUUUGUUAUCAUUUCACAAAAUUAAAGUUGUAAUUUGUUAUCAUUAAGGAAUUGAAAAGGUAAAUUAAUUA